GCCAGUGUGGCAUUGUGGUUUGAGUGCCGGACCACAAUUCUGGAGAUCUGGGUUCAGUUCCCAGCUUGUCC